rnacentral:rRNA from 1 species
UACAGAGGGUGCGAGCGUUAUUCGGAAUUACUGGGCGUAAAGCGCGCGUAGGCGGCUUUGCAAGUCGGGUGUGAAAUCCCCAGGCUUAACCUGGGAACUGCAUUCGAGACUGCAUUGCUAGAGUAUGGGAGAGGGAAGUGGAAUUUCCGGUGUAGCGGUGAAAUGCGUAGAUAUCGGAAGGAACAUCAGUGGCGAAAGCGACUUCCUGGACCAAUACUGACGCUCAGGUGCGAAAGCGUGGGGAGCAAACAGG